GUGGCCUUCCCGUCACCGAAGCCCUGCGUUCCACGCGGGGUAUUGAUGUAGGUGGCGGCGGGGCCAU
rnacentral:ncRNA from 1 species